GGAGGUGGGUCGGCAAAAUCGUCCAAAAUUCAUAUUGUUUGUAAGUUGUGUUACAUUAAUUAAAAAUUUUCCCUACGAAAAAUCGAUUCAAAACUAUCUACGAAGUAAAUGUGGUGCAUAUCCCUUAUAUUUUUUGAUGUAUAAUAGUCUACGAAGUGAUUUCAGUGGCAUUGGUAGCAAUAGAGUAUAAAAAUGAGGUAUCUUCGAUACAAAAUAGUCUUGUAAAAGUAUUGGAAACAUUUCGACAUGUUGUUAUAUUGAUAAACGAUUAACCCUGAAUAAUAUUGAUUUAAAAUCAUCUAUUAAUUGAAUGUAUUGGAUGUUCGGUAUGAAUAACGAAAGAUAUUUCAAAAAUUCAGAAAAGGUAUUGAGAUACCUAUUGAAAAAAUCUCCCUACGGAUAAAUAAAAGUCAUAUUAAUUAAUAAUUGUUGGAGCAUGAGGAGGUGGGUUGGCAAAAUCAUCCAAAAUUUAUAUUGUUGUAAGUUGUGUUAUAUUGAUUAAACUUUUCCCCUACGAUUCAAAAAAAUAUCUAGGAAGUAAAUAUGGUGAUUUUUUGUUAUAAAAUGAGUACUGAAUUGUUGAAAUUUUAUCCGUUAUCUUGGGUUGAAAUAUAUCAUCUAAAUAUAUUUUGAAAUACUGGGUGUUAUAUUGAUGAAAAAUUAUGAAAUAAACAUAUAUUGUUUGAGAUAAAUAGAGCACAGAAAUGACGAGAGUGUCCCUUCAUUUUCCAUUCAAAAUCUUAAAAAGUUAUUUGAAACAUUCAGACAGUAUGUCAUAUUGAUGAAAUAUAUUCCCUUCCGGUUCAAAAUUGCCUAGGAAAUAAAUGUAGUGUGUGCUUGAUAUAAAGUUCAGAAAUGAUGGGACUUUCUCUUAAUCAUCGAUUUGAAUUCAUCUUAGGUUCGAAGCUAUCUUCGAAAGAUACUUAGAAAAUUCAGACGUGGUGUUUUAUUGAACGAUUUAUCCCUGUAAGUAAAUCAUUUCAAAAUUAUGUAUGAAAUAAAAGUUUCGAGUGCUUUUCAAUCACAUCUAGCCAGCCGUAUUGCUAUAAAGAAGGAAAGUUAUUUCUUUGUAAUAUUGAUUCAAUAUCAUCUACCAAAUAAAAGUAAUUAGUGUUUUUUUAAAGUUGAGAAAUGAUGAGAAAUGAUUUUGAAAAAUAUUUAUUUUGAAAAUUCAGACAUGAUAUUUGAUAUAAAUAAUUGAAGGUAUUUUCAAAAUUCAGAAAAGUUGUUGCUAUAGAACAAAGGCCUUGAGUAAUAUUGAUUCAAAGUCAUUCAGAAAACAAAUGUAGUGCAUGUUUAUUAUUGAUAGGGUAUAGAAAUAAUGAGAUUUUCGAUUCGAAAUCAUUCACGUAAAGCAUUCAAAAAAUUCAGGUAUGAUGUCAUAUUGUAAAGGAUCAUCCCCGAGUAAAAUUCAUUCAAAAUUGUCUAUAAAUAAAAGUUUGGUAUGAAUACAAUAUCAAAUAGUUGGAAUUUUCCCCUUAUCUUUGGAAGGUAUUCAAAGAAUAUAGAUAUAGUAUCGCAUCUAUGAAAGGUUCUUCCUGAGGAGCACUAAUUUGAAAUGAUUUGAAAAAUAGAAGUUCAGAGUUUUGCUAAAUCAAGAAUAGUACUGCUAUAGUCGCCCUUAUGACUAGUCGAAAUCAUCUCUAAAGAAAAUUUAACAAAUUCAUUUUCAUUAUUUCAUUAAUGUUGAAUUGUUCCUAGGUAACAUAAUAACAAAAAUAUCUACAUUAGACAAGUUAUUGGGUUUGGUAGAAAUAAUAAUUGAAAAUUAUUUGAGGAGGUGGGUGGGCAAAUCAUCCAAAAUUCAUAUUGUUAUGCAUUGAAAAUGAUUACAAAAUGAAAAUUUAAUUCCUACACCAAGCUCAGAGUUAUUAGAGUUAUUCUAGAGAUGAAUAUUUGUCUCUAUCAAUUUUCACAAUAUUGCCUUCGUGAUUGAAAAUAUCAAAAAA